GACGAACGCUGGCGGCGUGCUUAACACAUGCAAGUCGAACGCUGAAGCACCAGCUUGCUGGUGUGGAUGAGUGGCGAACGGGUGAGUAAUACGUGAGUAACCUGCCCUUGACUCUGGGAUAAGCCCGGGAAACUGGGUCUAAUACUGGAUGCUACAUGUCACCGCAUGGUGGUGUGUGGAAAGGGUUUACUGGUCUUGGAUGGGCUCACGGCCUAUCAGCUUGUUGGUGAGGUAAUGGCUCACCAAGGCGACGACGGGUAGCCGGCCUGAGAGGGUGACCGGCCACACUGGGACUGAGACACGGCCCAGACUCCUAUGGGAGGCAGCAGUGGGGAAGAUUGCACAAUGGGCGAAAGCCUGAUGCAGCGACGCCGCGUGAGGGAUGACGGCCUUCGGGUUGUAAACCUCUUUCAGCAGGGAAGAAGCCACAAGUGACGGUACCUGCAGAAGAAGCGCCGGCUAACUACGUG
rnacentral:rRNA from 1 species